rnacentral:rRNA from 1 species
GGCCUUCGGGUUGUAAACCUCUUUUAGUAGGGAAGAAGCGAAAGUGACGGUACCUGCAGAAAAAGCACCGGCUAACUACGUGCCAGCAGCCGCGGUAAUACGUAGGGUGCGAGCGUUGUCCGGAAUUAUUGGGCGUAAAGAGCUCGUAGGCGGUUUGUCACGUCUGCUGUGAAAACCCGAGGCUCAACCUGGGAACUGCAUAUGUGACUGUAUGACUGGAGUACGGCAGAGGGGGAUGGAAUUCCGCGUGUAGCAGUGAAAUGCGUAGAUAUGCGGAGGAACACCGAUGGCGAAGGCAAUCCCCUGGGCCAGUACUGACGCUCAUGCACGAAAGCGUGGGGAGCAAACAGGAUUAGAUACCCUGGUAGUCC